rnacentral:rRNA from 1 species
UACGUAGGGUGCAAGCGUUGUCCGGAAUUAUUGGGCGUAAAGAGCUCGUAGGCGGUCUGUCGCGUCUGCUGUGAAAACUCAGGGCUUAACCCUGAGCUUGCAGUGGGUACGGGCAGACUAGAGUGCGGUAGGGGAGACUGGAAUUCCUGGUGUAGCGGUGAAAUGCGCAGAUAUCAGGAGGAACACCGGUGGCGAAAGGCGGGUCUCUGGG